rnacentral:rRNA from 1 species
CGGGACGGGUGAGUAAUGUCUGGGAAACUGCCUGAUGGAGGGGGAGUAACUACUGGAAACGGUAGCUAAUACCGCAUAACGUCGCAAGACCAAAGAGGGGGACCUUCGGGCCUCUUGCCAUCAGAUGUGCCCAGAUGGGAUUAGCUAGUAGGUGGGGUAACGGCUCACCUAGGCGACGAUCCCUAGCUGGUCUGAGAGGAUGACCAGCCACACUGGAACUGAGACACGGUCCAGACUCCUACGGGAGGCAGCAUG